GAGUUUGAUCAUGGCUCAGGACGAACGCUGGCGGCGUGCUUAAUACAUGCAAGUCGAACGAGGACUAGAGUGCUUGCACUCUAUAGCCGAGUGGCGAACGGGUGAGUAACACGUGACCAACCUGUCUACAGGCGGGGGAUUUAUAUAUAUAGAAUCCUGGGCUAAUACCGCAUAAUGUCUUUUCUUCGCAUGAAGAUUAGACCAAAGAGGGCCUCUACUUGUAAGCUCUCACCUGUUGAGGGGGUCGCGGCGUAUCAGCUUGUUGGUGAGGUAACGGCUCACCAAGGCGACGACGCGUAGCGGGUCUGAGAGGACGAUCCGUCACAUUGGGACUGAGAUACGGCCCAGACUCCUACGGGAGGCAGCAGUAGGGAAUAUUGCGCAAUGGACGAAAGUCUGACGCAGCGACGCCGCGUGUGGGAGGAAGCCUUUCGGGGUGUAAACCACUGUCAGGAGGGAAGAAUCCCGGGUAUUCGAAUAGGAUGCCCGAAUGACGGUACCUCCAAAGGAAGCGCCGGCUAACUCCGUGCCAGCAGCCGCGGUAAGACGGAGGGCGCAAGCGUUGUUCGGAAUUACUGGGCGUAAAGCGCACGCAGGCGGUCUCUUAAGUCCUUUGUGAAAGCCCGGGGCUCAACCCCGGAACUGCAUAGGAUACUGGGAGACUUGAGACAGGUAGAGGCUAGCGGAAUUUCCUGGUGUAGCGGGUGGAAUGCGUAGAUAUCAGAGACACCUGUGGGCGAAGCGGCUAGCUGGGCCCUGUUUCUGACCGCCUCCAUGUGCGAAAGCGGUGGGGGGGAGCAAAAACAGGGAUUUAGAAUA
rnacentral:rRNA from 1 species